AUGCUCAUUUCGGCAGCACAUAUACUAAAAUUGGAACCAUACAGAGAAGAUUAGCAUGGCCCCUGCACAAGGAUGACACGCAAAUUCGUGAAGUGUUCCAUAUUUUA
ensembl:snRNA U6 U6 spliceosomal RNA